CUUGCUUCUCUGCCUUUUGGCUAAGAUCCAGUGUAGUAUCUGUUCUUAUCAGCAUAAUAUCUGAUACAUCCUCUAUCCGAGGACAAUAUAUGAAAUGGACUUUUGGAACAGGGAGAUGGAAUAGGAGCUUGCUCCAUCCACUCCAUGCAUUGAUCUGGUAUUGCAGUACCUCCAGGAAGGGUGCACCCUCU
ensembl:snRNA U2 U2 spliceosomal RNA